rnacentral:lncRNA from 1 species
UAAUCCCCUCUUCUUCCUCUCUCUUCUCACCCUCUCUCACUCUCUGACCUAAGCCCCUCGCUCCGCCUGCUGCCGCCGCCGGAAUUCGCCAUCGGUGGCGGAGCACCUCCAAACACCCCCAAAUCAUCACCAUACACUCCCCUCAACCUACUCUUUCCAAAUCUCCUACCCAAAUCCCUCAAAACCCACUCAAAUUCCACGAGUUUUAGAUCUAAGAAACCCCACAACCCAUUUUUUUUUUAAAUCGUGAAGAUUGAGCCAUCUCCUCUACCUAAUACCCAUAUGUAGGGAUAGAGCUCGGUGUGGGCUACCAACGGACUUGUCCUCGACCCGAAAUUCUGGUGACUAGAUUACGGCGGGUUGCCAACAACCACCAAAAAUGGCGAAUCUCUUUGUUUUUGUCUAUAUUCGGACCUAGAGCGAGAUUUUACUGUUGAUUACAUUGAAAUUGAACUCCGGUUCACCAGAGUUUAAAUGUUUCAGUGUUUAUCAACAAUAAGAGCUUGCUCGGGAUUGAACACUUCUGGAACUGCCACCACUGCCACUGUUCCGCCAUUGCCCGAGUGCUCGAGUUUGGUAAAAUUCCUAGUCCCUUUCUCUUUGUCUUAGAUUUUCAGUUUUUCUUAUUUGAUUUGAUAGUUUUGUUUAGGUUUAAGUUCUAAUAAUGAUCGAUCGACUACUUCGUAUAAUAUUGUUUUGGUUUUUUCGCUUAAUUAUAAUUGCCCAAGUUAGACUAGUAGUGGUAGUUAAAAGUUUAGCUUCGAUUAUUUGAUUUUUGCAUCUUACUAGUUUGAAGCAGUAGUUCAAUUUCUCAAAGAAUAUUUGUUUUGUUUCUUGUUUGUCGUUUCAGUAGCUCGACAUGUAGUUUAACUUUGUGAUUAGCUGAGUAAUUGCUCUUUCUAAUAAUCUAGAACAAUCAUUUAGUUAGUAUCGUUGAGUUGUUUUGAUUUCGUUCAGUCGUUAAGCUUAAAUCGCCUAUUGGAUUGCAGUUUCGAGUUUGUCUUUCCUACGUUGUCAUGUUUUAGUUUGAGUUAGUAGUUUAUGUGUUCAAAGAUCUGGUAUUAGUCCUAAUUAACCAGAUUGAGAUCGAAAUAGUUGUUUAGUAUAGGUAAUUAUAUGGUUCAGUCUUGUUUAAUUCCUACUAGUUGACUCUUAACUAAUCUUAUUCGAAUUACUAACUGUUUGAACUAGAUUGAAUCUGCUUUCUCUUUGUGGACUAGUUAGUUUUGAAUUUGGUUUGAAAAAUUAAGAGAAAACGGAAAGAAACGAGAAUACUUAAGUGUAGGGUUCUUUGUUUGGUUGCUUUUACUGUUGCGGAUUGUUUUGGAGUACAAUACUCCAAAAUUCUAUCCACAAUUGGUAAGAGAAACUGUCCAUUAACCAAAAUUCUGGUUUUGGACAGAUUUUUGGUAAAAAAUUCAUCAUUUUGGAUAGAUUUUUGGCAAAAUAAAAUCUGUCCCAAGAUUCCACCUCCUCUCAUAUAAAGGUGAGGUCUUUACACAUCUUCUAGAGAUCUUUUGACUCUAAAAAAUACACACACUUUGUUAACAUCUUUGAAGUUGCUUGAACACACUUGAAAAAGACAUCUUUUAUACACUAAAAAGACGCAACUUUGAGAGUAAAAAUAGGAUCUAAACACUUAGUGGUAAGCUGAAAGUGGUGAGCUUUUGUGAGUUAAUUCUCUAUGAUAAAAACCUUUCAAAAGCAUAAGAGUGUUGAAGUUGAUUGCUGGGAUCCUUUUUCUUUUAAAGUUACUAAGUUUAAGGGUCUUUUCUAGGCUGUUUUUCGGGUUAAAAAUUGUUGAUUUGCUGUUGGUUGUUGCUGCUUUUGGCUGUCAUUUGUGCUGGAAUUUCACUUCAUUCUGCUGUAUUUUAGUAUUUUCUACAUUUCAGGUAAUUCUUCAUCCUUUGUAAUGCAGAUUUGUAAUAGCAAUGAGUGAUGGUUGGAGCACGUUUAUAUUAUUUAAGCAUCUUUAAAGGAGUUUGCCAAAAGUUCUACUUUUGAAUCCAGCUUGGGGAUCAUAGUGCUAAAUCCAUGACUUUGCUGCUUUGUUUUUUCUCUGUAGUAUUUUUUCCCCUUCUUUUAAAUAGUAUUUUUUCAAUAUAAUCUUGGCAAUAUUUUAGAAAAGGAAAUAGUAUGUUAAAUAUUUAAUGAAGACUUUGGAGUGGACAGAAGCUAUGGAGUUUGUGGAAAAGAGUCUUGUUUGGCUUAAGAUCUCUGCCAUUUUGCUUGCUGGAAGUUGGAAUUAAUAUCAUCAAAGAAUCACAUAAUGAUCUAGUUUUAUUAUUCCCCUACAGUAGCAAUGUUAUUUUCGGCUUUAGUUGAUUUCUCGUUACCCAAUUGUUCGUUCUAGAUUUUAUGUUUCUUUUACUAGUCCCCUUUAGUACUACUUUAGUUAGUGAAAGCUGAAAUUUUUCUUUCUUCCAAGUCACAUGGAAAUAGUGUGGGCUGUUUGUACAGUUGUUAAGCUAUUAGCUCAUAUCAGCUAAUGAGUUACAUUUAUGUUUAACUAGAAUUGGUCCCAACAGCUUACUUCAGAAUAAGUUGAUCAUUCUUUUUAUCAAGAAGUUAGCCCAUUUCUUUAAAAUAGAUAGAGCUGAUCCAAUAUUAAAUUGUCAUGUUCUCCCACAAUAAUUAAUCCAAAAAUCAGAUUUUUUGAACUAAUUUAAUAGUUUAGAUACUCUUAAAUAAUUUGAGCGCUAUGUAUAUUGGCAAGAACAUAUGCACAUAAUUUAUUUAUUUAUUUUUUGUUUUGUUCAUACUAAUUUCAUUCUUUUAAUUAAUAAUAAUGAUAAUAAGAAUAAAGUUAUAAGUUCCAAUAUCAAUAAUAUUCAUAUGUUGUCCUACAACCAUUAACCUAUAAAGAGACAUUUUCUUUUCAUAAUAAAGAUGAACAAUUAUUUUUCCAUAAUCUAACCCCUAUAGUAAUUCAUCUUAACUAAGGUAAAUAAUUUCGUCUUAACCGAUGCCGGGAAGACUCGCUUCGGAAUAAAGACAUAAAUAAAAUGGCAAGGUUGUGAGGACGUCUUGUUCUAAUUCUUUCUAAUAAAAUAAUAGUUUGUUAUUUAAUUAACUUCGAGUAGACUCCAACUUUGGGUAUGACGCACGAACUAAGGUUGGGGAUACUCGUCGUGGUUAGUGUAAGCUAGGGUCGGGGAUACUCGUCCUAGUUUGAGAUUAAUAAAGUCAUCAACAAUAAAAGUGGAGAUAGGCAAACAUUAAAAUCAAAUAAAGCACGGUUUAUUUAAAAUUAAAGCUAGAUGUAGUCAAUAAAGUGACCGUUCUAGAACCAUAGGACUCGGGGAAUGCCUUACACCUUCUCCCCGGUCAAUAGAAUUCGUUAUCCGAACUUUAUUUUCGCAGACCAAUAAUAAAUGAGUCAAGCCUUUCUUUGACUAGGGAUUCAAAUAAAAGGUGACUUGGAA